AGUGAACGCUGGCGGUAGGCCUAACACAUGCAAGUCGAACGGCAGCACAGUAAGAGCUUGCUCUUACGGGUGGCGAGUGGCGGACGGGUGAGGAAUACAUCGGAAUCUACUUUUUCGUGGGGGAUAACGUAGGGAAACUUACGCUAAUACCGCAUACGACCUACGGGUGAAAGCAGGGGAUCUUCGGACCUUGCGCGAUUGAAUGAGCCGAUGUCGGAUUAGCUAGUUGGCGGGGUAAAGGCCCACCAAGGCGACGAUCCGUAGCUGGUCUGAGAGGAUGAUCAGCCACACCGGAACUGAGACACGGUCCAGACUCCUACGGGAGGCAGCAGUGGGGAAUAUUGGACAAUGGGCGCAAGCCUGAUCCAGCCAUACCGCGUGGGUGAAGAAGGCCUUCGGGUUGUAAAGCCCUUUUGUUGGGAAAGAAAAGCAGCAGGUUAAUACCCCGCUAUUCUGACGGUACCCAAAGAAUAAGCACCGGCUAACUUCGUG
rnacentral:rRNA from 1 species